UACGUAGGUGACUAGCGUUGUUCGGAUUUAUUGGGCGUAAAGGGUCCGCAGGGGGCCGGCUAAGUUCGAUGUGAAAUCCCGGAGCUUAACUUCGGAACUGCAUUGGAGACUGGCUGGCUAGAGCAUCGGAGAGGAGAAUGGAAUUCCAGGUGUAGCGGUGGAAUGCGUAGAUAUCUGGAAGAACACCAAAGGCGAAGGCAGUUCUCUGGACGAUUGCUGACCCUCAGGGACGAAAGCAUGGGGAGCAAACAGG
rnacentral:rRNA from 1 species